UAUUUUUCCGAGAGAGAGCUCCUAAGAGCCUCCUGUCUCCCUUCCCCUACCAGGACUGGUGGUUCCAGGACUGCUAUGUGUUUUCCUCAUCAUCACCCUGGAAAUUUCCUCCACCUCUCUCCUGAAUUGAAUCCCCUAGUUCGGGCUCCUAUGUCUUCUUAUGUCUUGGUUUACUCUCUUAGUUUUAUAAGGAGUGGCCUGAGACUGCCAAUGUGCUUUUUACCCUGCUACAUAUAAACCUCACCCUUUUAACGGGUGAAGAAAUAAAUGGUGGUUUUUGUUCUCAGCUCAGAAUAAACCAAGAAGAGGAAUCCAUCCCAUGUGGAGUCCAACAAUUCCUGUUCCAGAAUUAGUCAAAUUUGUUUUCUUUCUGGAUUCAGCAAGCUUGUAAUUAAAAGCUUUGAUUUUCAUUGACCUUAAUCACAAGGCAAUAGGAAAAAAAAAAGAAGAGAAACGUUUUCUGAAAAUCCAAGCUGCGAUUCUUGAAGGACAGAACAGCAUAAAGUUUGCUGCAUUUAAAGAAAAGGGGGACUUGAACUGAGCAUCUUCAGCCCACCCACAGUCUCCCUGCUUGGAGACUCUAGCAGGCGAUGUGCAAAUGUCACAUGUGCCUGCCUGGCCUGGCUCUCCUCCAGAUUUCUGCCCUGUAUGUGGCCUGUGGGCUCUCAGAUGUGGUUCGAUGCUUCAUUUGCCACAUUUUUUUUUUUUUUCAGCACAAAAUACAAGCCUUGGACAGGUGCUGGGGAUGUAGUGGCUUCUGAAAUUUUUUCCCAGAAGGCAGUGACUCAUCACAGGAAACCCCUUUGUUUUCUCUCUGACCUUCCCUCGGCUUCCUGCUCCACCCAUCUGUGCGUCUUAGGAGGAAAUAUCUAAGAAGAGGUGAUUCAUUACUGUCUGAAAAACGCUUUGAGAUCCUCUGAAGGAAGGGGGAUGAGACAGACUGAGUUGUUGCGGAGCAGAACCCAAGGCACGGAGGCAGAUGCAGAGCUCUGGAACAGUGGGAAGGGCUGCCCCGCGUAACCCACACCCGCAGGCCGCUGGCGCCUGGGCCUGUGGAACCCCAGCAAGACAGACCCUCCUCCCUCCGUUGCCACCAGGUGAGGGUCCAGAGCUGUGACGGAGAGUUUGGCAAGUUCUGGUCUUGCGGUUAAUGCUGACUCUGGGUGCUGUUUCACAGCAUGUCAGUUGAGGUUUAAAGUCACCCAUGGGUUUUAUUUUCACUAAAAAAAAAUCAGAGUGGGAGGAAGCAAAGAAGAGACAAGGAGCUGUUAACAUCACAGGAAAAGGGAUCCCUGCGUGGCUCAGUCUGUUAAGCGUCUGUCUUCAGUGUGGGUCAUGAUCCCGGGGUCCUGGGAUUGAGUCCCUCAUUGGGCUCCUUGCUCAGUGGGGAGCCUGCUUCUCCCUCUGCCUGCCGCUCCCCCUGCUUGUGUGUGCUCUUGCUUGCUCUCUCUCUGACAAAUAAAUAAAAUCUUAAAAAAAAAAAAACCA
rnacentral:lncRNA from 1 species